rnacentral:rRNA from 1 species
UACGGAGGGUGCGAGCGUUGUUCGGAAUCACUGGGCGUAAAGGGCGCGUAGGCGGCCUUCUAAGUCGAACGUGAAAUCCCCGGGCUCAACCCGGGAACUGCGUCCGAUACUGGAAGGCUUGAAUCCGGGAGAGGGAUGCGGAAUUCCAGGUGUAGCGGUGAAAUGCGUAGAUAUCUGGAGGAACACCGGUGGCGAAGGCGGCAUCCUGGACCGGCAUUGACGCUGAGGCGCGAAAGCCAGGGGAGCAAACGGG